UCCGGUUUAUCACCGGCAGUUUCCUUAGAGUCCCCGGCCGAACCGUUGGUAACUAAGGAUGAGGGUUGCGCUCGUUGCGGGACUUAACCCAACAUCUCACGACACGAGCUGACGACAGCCAUGCAACACCUGUGUAUAGCCCAGCCGAACUGAGCCCUAUGUUUCCAUAAGAUUUAGCUAUCAUUCAAAGGGUGGUAAGGUUUUUCGCGUAGCAUCGAAUUAAACCACAUGCUCCACCGCUUGUGCGGGUCCCCGUCAAUUCCUUUGAGUUUUAAUCUUGCGAUCGUACUCCCCAGGCGGAGAGCUUAACGCGUUAGCUACGACACCAACAAAAAGCUGAUAUCUAGCUCUCAUAGUUUACAGCGUGGACUAC
rnacentral:misc_RNA from 1 species